rnacentral:misc_RNA from 1 species
GAUGAAGAACGUAGCGAAAUGCGAUAAGUAGUGUGAAUUGCAGAAUUCAGUGAAUCAUCGAAUCGUUGAACGCACAUUGCGCCCCUUGGUAUCCCGAGGGGCAUGCCUGUUCGAGCGUCAUUUCACCACUCAAGCCUGGCUUGGUGUUGGGCGACGUCCUCUUUGGGGACGCGCCUCGAAACGCUCGGCGGCGUGGCACCGGCUUUAAGCGUAGCAGAAUCUUUCGCUUUGGAAGUCGGGGCCCCGUCUGCCGGAAGACCUGCUCGCAAGGUUGACCUCGGAUCAGGCAGGGAUACCCGCUGAACUUAAGCAUAUCAAUAAGCGGAGGA